rnacentral:rRNA from 1 species
UACGUAGGGGCAAGCGUUGUCCGGAUUUAUUGGGCGUAAAGAGCGUGUAGGCGGCCAGGUAGGUCUGCUGUGAAAACUCGAGGCUCAACCUCGAGACGUCGGCGGAAACCAUCUGGCUAGAGUCCGGAAGAGGAGAGUGGAAUUCCUGGUGUAGCGGUGAAAUGCGCAGAUAUCAGGAAGAACACCCGUGGCGAAGGCGGCUCUCUGGGACGGUACUGACGCUGAGACGCGAAAGCGUGGGGAGCGAACAGGAUAGAU